GUCCACGCUGUAAACGAUGUCUACUAGCCGUUGGGCGACUUGAUCGCUUAGUGGCGCAGUUAACGCGAUAAGUAGACCGCCUGGGGAGUACGGCCGCAAGGUUAAACUCAAAUGAAUUGACGGGGCCCGCACAAGCGGUGGAGCAUGUGGUUUAAUUCGAUGCAACGCGAAGAACCUUACCAGGUCUUGACAUCCUCGGAACUUAGCAGAGAUGCUUUUGGUGCCUUCGGGAACCGAGAGACAGGUGCUGCAUGGCUGUCGU
rnacentral:rRNA from 1 species